rnacentral:rRNA from 1 species
GACGAAGGCUUCAAGCGUUGUCCGGAUUUACUGGGUUUAAAGGGUGCGUAGGCGGAAAUAUAAGUCAGUGGUGAAAUCCCGCAGCUCAACUGCGGAACUGCCAUUGAAACUGCAUUUCUUGAAUACGGUUGAGGUAGAUGGAAUGUAACAUGUAGCGGUGAAAUGCUUAGAUAUGUUACAGAACUCCGAUUGCGAAGGCAGUCUACUAAGCCGUUAUUGACGCUGAGGCACGAAAGCGUGGGGAGCAAACAGG